GACGAACGCUGGCGGCGUGCCUAAUACAUGCAAGUUGAACGCUUGAUUUUCACCGAAGCUUGCUUCACCGAAAAUCAAGAGUAGCGAACGGGUGAGUAACGCGUGGGUAACCUACCUAUCAGCGGGGGAUAACUAUUGGAAACGAUAGCUAAUACCGCAUAACAAUGUUGAAUGCAUAUUCGACAUUUGAAAGUACCAAUUGGUACACUGAGAGAUGGACCCGCGUUGUAUUAGCUAGUUGGUAGUGUAAUGGACUACCAAGGCGAUGAUACAUAGCCGACCUGAGAGGGUGAUCGGCCACAUUGGGGACUGAGACACGGCCCAAACUCCUACGGGAGGCAGCAGUAGGGAAUCUUCGGCAAUGGACGAAAGUCUGACCGAGCAACGCCGCGUGAGUGAAGAAGGUUUUCGGAUCGUAAAACUCUGUUGUUAGAGAAGAACGUUGCAUAGAGUGGAAAAUUAUGCAAGUGACGGUAUCUAACCAGAAAGGGACGGCUAACUACGUA
rnacentral:rRNA from 1 species